GCCACACAGGCUUCAAAAUGUUGGGGAUGUUACUGCUCAUCUGUUACUAUGACAACGACAGGUAUGAAAGCGAGGCUGUGAGGGAACUUAGCGCGUUUUCAGUGCCAUACGCUGCACAAAGCUCCUAGAUCACUUAUCAUUUUGUCUGGAGUUUUUUGUCUGCUGAAAAUAUAUUGUUGCAGUGUUUCGUAAGCAGAACCAUCAAAAAACACAUUAAAUAAUAGUACACCCAUUAAAGGGGUGCCUCGCUUUCUUUAAAAAGAAGAUGGCGUUGCUGCGAACGAGGUCUAUUGUAAAGAUGAAACAUUUCAUGUUAGGCUGGUCAGUUUUCAGCGGCUCUGGGUCAGAUUUAAAACCUGCUGAAAUUAUUGAGGCUUUAAUGCAGCACCGAUGGAACUGUGAUGACACGCAGAUUAUAUCCGCGCAAAAGUUACUGAACCCUCGUUCAGCACAGGACGGCUCUCUCGCACUGAAUGACGCAUCAGCUCAAUAAGGAAGGCAUGGACUCCUACAUACCUGCUGUUUUCUUCCAUCUCAUGGAGGACCUUACCACUGAUGUGACAUCCGUCUGCUGCCCAUAUCGCUUGACCCUGAGCUCUUCAAAC